UAUGUUUUCUGGGCUGUAUGGCCAUGUUCCAGAAAUAUUCUCUCCUGACCUCACAACCUCUGGGGAUGCCUGCCAUAGAUGUGGGUGAAACGUCAGGAGAGAAUACUUCUGGAACAUGGCCAUACAGCCCGGAAAACAUACAACAACCCUGUGAUCCCGGCCAUGAAAGCCUUCGACAACAUUGAACAUGGUAAUGCCUUCUCAUAAUUCUCAAAAUAAGCCAAGGUGAGCAGACAUCAGCCAACUUUACUGACUAAGGUAUCCUCCUUCAUUCCAAGGCCAUCCCAUCCCAGUUAUUUCUCAACCUUGAAAGUUUUUAGAAAACAGAAAAACAACCCUUAAAGGAGAAUUUAUUCUUUCAAGGGACUUAGAAAUAAAUGGAGCAACUCUACACAGUAGACAUAUCUCCUCAAGAAUACGGUGGUCUUCCAUGGGUCUCCCCUACACAAGGACCUUACCAUUUUCUGUCCUCUCUCACUGAUCAUUGCUGGAAGAAUCCUCCUUGGGGCCAACACCACUGUCUUGCGAUCUACAGAUGGCAAGUGCUUCUUGACACCCAUCACCUAGUGAAGCCUAGCCAGUUGUUCCACAAGAAAAACAGUAAAAGGUUUACUGGAAAGAAACAAUUAAAGGUUUAUAUUUCCUCAGGCCUUCCGCUGCUACUGCCUUCCCAGACAAGCACCCCUUGCACGAGUGGCAAGAGCAUUGCCUGUUCUGAGGUUGUAAGACAUAACUCAGCAAUGCGAUCAGUAACAUAGAGGCAAUUGAGCUACCUAUCCAUCACUGAUUGCAUGGCUGCUAGGGUUGGGCUCGAAUCAUGUUUCAUCUGUUUCAUUUGUGGUUUUGUACCAUUUUGUCCAUUCAGAUUGCAUGGAAUGGUACAACCCCAUGGGAACAAAUGAAACAGUGAAACGAAUGGCAGAGGGGGGUAGUAGCCGUUCCCUCUGCUGAUUUUCGUUGCUUGGCUUUAGGCUGUGGUUCGCAUGCCCUUCAACCAAGCAUCGGGCGCUUGAUGCUUGUAGGCCCUGCCUGCCGUGCCUAUGAGCAUCGAGUGCUCAAUGUCUCGUAGGCCUGGCUCGCAGGGUAUAACGCAAAUGGGGCAGGGGGAAUAUCUUUUUAAAUAUCCCACCGCUGCCACCAAUAUAACAGAAAAUGGGCAAAGCGGGGAGAGGCUAGGCUGAGAGGCUAAUUAUAACAGAUUUGCUUUUAAAACUGGUAGCUGCCACCAACCUAAAAUGUCUUUAGGAUUUUUGUUAUUAAAUGUGUCUGAGAUAAGUUUCUCCCAUUCACUGCCCACACUGUUUCCCACCCCUGGCUCCCAAACUGAAUGUUCACUAUGAGGCUUUUCUGUGGUAUUUUAUUGUUGUAUUGCUGGAACUUUUAUUAAGGCUUCUCAAUGAAAAAUAUACACCGUGGAGGCUCUUGAAAGUUGAAAAUAGAAUAACAAUUUAUUUUCUUAAAAGCAUGUAAAUUAUUACUUCAGAGAGGUUCAUAAGCAUAAUCGGUUACAGACAUUCUUCAGCUUAACUUAGUUGUAUGUUUCAGAUUUACUUCACUUAGUUUCAAACAGUUCCAACUAACCAAUCUAUCUAUUGGUCACAAAAACCCUCGCUCUAUUUGCUGAGAAUAGACACAAGUUCUCCUGGGUUGUUAAUUAACUCUAACCUAGAGUCCUUCUAUUAACCAGCCCAAUAUUGAGAAACAAUCCCUUGAGUUAUCUCCCCCAAGAGAUCCAAACUGCCUGACUUAGCCUGUCAGUUUCCACAGCUUUCAGUUCUCUCUCUCACACACACUCUCCCAACACCAAAACCAAACUGCUCUCUUCAAACUCUCAAACAGAACUCUCUUCUUCAAACCUCAAACCAGAACUGCCUGGAGCUUUCUUUUUUCUGCACUCUAAGACUUGGCUCCUCCCAUCUGCUCUGGUUGGCCAGUCCUAGGAGUCUCUCUCUAAGCUCCUCCCCCUUUCUAACCACACUCAAGAUGGCUGACUGGCCUUCCUCAACAAAAUGGAAGCUGCCUCACUCCCUGUUACCAAGGUUCCAUUCCAGGCCUAAUAGUAUAGGCACCCAUUUCCAUCAGCGAUAGAUGGAAACAGAAAUGGGCCCAUACGAAUGGAACAAACAGAAACAUGGAAGAAGAUGGUCAGAGGAUGGGGCCCGAGCAGGUCAGAAUUAUCUAGCAAGUUGUGAACAAAGCCAAAGUAUGAAAGCCGAGUCGGAAAAGAAACUGACGUAUCAAAACGGAAACUGAUAGAUCAUGGGUGGAAACUAGUCAAAUUAAAAAUCAGUUUUGAAGGA